ACGUAGGGACCAAGCGUUGUUCGGAUUUACUGGGCGUAAAGGGCGCGUAGGCGGCGUGGUAAGUCACUUGUGAAAUCUCUGAGCUUAACUCAGAACGGCCAAGUGAUACUGCUGUGCUAGAGUGCAGAAGGGGCAAUCGGAAUUCUUGGUGUAGCGGUGAAAUGCGUAGAUAUCAAGAGGAACACCUGAGGUGAAGACGGGUUGCUGGGCUGACACUGACGCUGAGGCGCGAAAGCCAGGGGAGCAAACGGGAUUAGAUACCCCGGUAGUCCUGGCCCUAAACGAUGAAUACUUGGUGUCUGGAGUCUUAAUGCUCCGGGUGCCGUCGCUAACGUUUUAAGUAUUCCGCCUGGGGAGUACGCUCGCAAGAGUG
rnacentral:rRNA from 1 species